GGCCAGGGUUGAAAGAUGACACCGAGGAGCAAAGGAGGGGAGAACAGGAGCAGAUGAACCGUGCCAAAGGCUGAAUGCCUGGAAAUCCCCAGCAUGAAAGUCUUACGAUGAGCCCCAUAUGCAAUCUACCGCUGCCUUAGUAGAGGUAAGAAUUGAGGUUCCAAGUUGUCCCUUGCCUUAACUGGACCUGCUGGUAGAAGUGUACCAGAGAAAACUUCCUUACACUUUGUGGCACUUGAUAGUGCUGUUCAACACACGUGCAGAGUGGCGGCCCUGAGCACACCUCGUUGCAAGCUGCUUUGGGUUUAUGGUCCCUCUGUGGUCUUUGGGUAGCAUACUGGUCCUAGCUGGAGGAGUUUACAGCCAUGUUCUGGAAGACACAUUCUUUGUACUUACCUGUUAGAUUUUCAUAGAAGCUAUGUGUAUUUCCUAACAAGAUACAAAUGAUGGACUUGGUAUUCUUAGUGAUCUAUCCCUCUGCCUUCAAUCCAUUCUCCUGCAUAUCUUUUUGCUUUCCUUUCAUUGCAAUCAUGUUAACUGUGUACUGUAGCCAUUGCUGUCCGUGAUGUAUUUGUUUCAAAGCAUUUUACUUGUUAAGAGAGAGUUGGAUAACAAGUAAUAAAAAAAAUCCAAGCAUGUGACCAUUUGAUUGGUAAGUUUUGAGUGCAGUCCUACCAUCAUAAUGAAAGAGCAGAUCCCACAGAAUAAUACAAUGGAAGAAUAAUCUUUGCCACAGGGGAACUCUUGCAAGCAAAAUCAAUCUUGAUAGCUGUUUCUGUGGUUUAGAUGAAAUUAAUAGGCCGAGGGUGGGAAUGUAAUCCCAUGUUAACAACAUUUUUCAUGGCACCAUGAGCUGUGUAUCAUGCUCUCCUCAUGCAGUUGUGACCAUUUUUCAUAUAUCAAUACAUUAUGAUUCACCGUGAUGUACACAGAAACCAAAAGUCCAGAUGACGUUUUAGGGCUGUAACUGAAAGUUGGGGUUAUUUCUGUAGUUUAGCGUCUUGUUUUGUGAUUGUUGUUAGUUUUUUAUUUAUUCUUUUACGAAGAUGAUUCUAUUUUCUGUCUCUAUGAGAGGUUUACUUCUACAUUUAAGUAAUUUGCUAUUCUGCAGGGCCCACUUUAAGGAUUACAGGAAAAUUUAGCUUGGGCUUUUAAUACAAUGAAAU
rnacentral:lncRNA from 1 species